rnacentral:rRNA from 1 species
UACGAAGGGAGCUAGCGUUUUUCGGAAUUACUGGGCGUAAAGCGCAUGUAGGCGGCCGAUUAAGUUGGAAGUGAAAUCCCAGGGCUUAACCCUGGAACUGCUUCCAAAACUGGUUGGCUAGAGAGUGAUAGAGGAUGGCGGAAUUCCUAGUGUAGAGGUGAAAUUCGUAGAUACUGGGAAGAACACCGGUGGCGAAGGCGGCUCUCUGGACCGUAACUGACGCUGAGGCGCGAAAGCGUGGGGAGCAAACAGG